rnacentral:rRNA from 1 species
CACUCCUGCGGGAGGCAGCAGUGGGGAAUAUUGCACAAUGGGCGCAAGCCUGAUGCAGCCAUGCCGCGUGUAUGAAGAAGGCCUUCGGGUUGUAAAGUACUUUCAGCGGGGAGGAAGGCGAUAAGGUUAAUAACCUUGUUGAUUGACGUUACCCGCAGAAGAAGCACCGGCUAACUCCGUGCCAGCAGCCGCGGUAAUACGGAGGGUGCAAGCGUUAAUCGGAAUUACUGGGCGUAAAGCGCACGCAGGCGGUCUGUCAAGUCGGAUGUGAAAUCCCCGGGCUCAACCUGGGAACUGCAUUCGAAGCUGGCAGGCUAGAGUCUUGUAGAGGGGGGUAGAAUUCCAGGUGUAGCGGUGAAAUGCGUAGAGAUCUGGAGGAAUACCGGUGGCGAAGGCGGCCCCCUGGACAAAGACUGACGCUCAGGUGCGAAAGCGUGGGGAGCAAACAGGAUUAGAAACCCUAGUAGUCCCA